rnacentral:rRNA from 1 species
GGGCCCGCACAAGCGGUGGAUUAUGUGGAUUAAUUCGAUGCAACGCGAAAAAACCUUACCUGGCCUUGACAUGUACCGAAUUUAGCAGAGAUGCUUUAGUGCUCGUAAGAGAACGGUAACACAGGUGCUGCAUGGCUGUCGUCAGCUCGUGUCGUGAGAUGUUGGUUAAGUCCCGCAACGAGCGCAACCCUUGCCAUUAAUUGCCAUCAUUUAGUUGGGCACUUUAAUGGGACUGCCGGUGACAAACCGGAGGAAGGUGGGGAUGACGUCAAGUCCUCAUGGCCCUUAUGGCCAGGGCUUCACACGUAAUACAAUGGUCGGUACAGAGAGCAGCCACUACGCGAGUAGGAG